rnacentral:rRNA from 1 species
GCAAUGCCGCGUGCAGGAUGAAGGCCUUCGGGUUGUAAACUGCUUUUGUACGGAACGAAAAAGCUUCUCCUAAUACGAGAGGCCCAUGACGGUACCGUAAGAAUAAGCACCGGCUAACUACGUGCCAGCAGCCGCGGUAAUACGUAGGGUGCGAGCGUUAAUCGGAAUUACUGGGCGUAAAGCGUGCGCAGGCGGUUAUGUAAGACAGAUGUGAAAUCCCCGGGCUCAACCUGGGAACUGCAUUUGUGACUGCAUGGCUAGAGUACGGUAGAGGGGGAUGGAAUUCCGCGUGUAGCAGUGAAAUGCGUAGAUAUGCGGAGGAACACCGAUGGCGAAGGCAAUCCCCUGGACCUGUACUGACGCUCAUGCACGAAAGCGUGGGGAGCAAACAGGAUUAGAUACCCUGGUAGUCCACGCCCUAAACGAUGUCAACUGGUUGUUGGGAAUUAGUUUUCUCAGUAACGAAGCUAACGCGUGAAGUUGACCGCCUGGGGAGUACGGCCGCAAGGUUGAAACUCA